rnacentral:rRNA from 1 species
AUUGAACGCUGGCGGCGUGCUUAACACAUGCAAGUCGUGCGGUAACAGGCGUAGCAAUACGUGCUGACGAGCGGCGAACGGGUGCGUAAUACAUGGGAAUCUGCCCUUUAGUGGGGAAUAACCCGGCGAAAGCCGGGCUAAUGCCGCAUAAGAUCUUCGGAUGAAAGCGGGGGAUCGUAAGACCUCGCGCUGAUGGAUGAGCCCAUGUCGGAUUAGCAGUUGGUGAGGUAACGGCUCACCAAGGCGACGAUCCGUAGCUGGUCUGAGAGGACGGCCAGCCACACUGGGACUGAGACACGGCCCAGACUCCUACGGGAGGCAGCAGGUGGGGAAUAUUGGACAAUGGGCGAAAAGCCUGAUCCAGCGACGCCGCGUGUGUGAAGAAGGCCU